rnacentral:rRNA from 1 species
UACGAAGGGGGCUAGCGUUGUUCGGAAUUACUGGGCGUAAAGCGCACGUAGGCGGAUCGAUCAGUCAGGGGUGAAAUCCCAGAGCUCAACUCUGGAACUGCCUUUGAUACUGUCGAUCUAGAGUAUGGAAGAGGUGAGUGGAAUUCCGAGUGUAGAGGUGAAAUUCGUAGAUAUUCGGAGGAACACCAGUGGCGAAGGCGGCUCACUGGUCCGGUACUGACGCUGAGGUGCGAAAAGCGUGGGGGAGCAAACAGG